ensembl:lncRNA
GAGUCUGCCGAUAAGAAUGCGGUGAUUGACAGAGUCGAAAAAGCCUUGGCCAGAUCAAUGAAUACGGCUGCACAGUAUUGUCUCUUAUCGAUGGCGGUUAUGAUAUCGUUUAGGACCUUGAGCGUGGCUGAGGUAUACCCGUGACCAGCUCUGAAACCAGAUUGCAUAGCGGAAAAGGUAAGGUGGGAUUCGAAAUGGUCGGUGAUCUGUUUGUUAACUUGGCUUUCGAACACCUUAGAAAGGCAGGGCAGGAUGGAUAUAGGUCUGUAACAGUUUGGGUCUAGAGGCAGGGCAGGAUGGAUAUAGGUCUGUAACAGUUUGGGUCUAGAGGCAGGGCAGGAUGGAUAUAGGUCUGUAGCAGUUUGGGUCUAGAGGCAGGGCAGGAUGGAUAUAGGUCUGUAACAGUUUGGGUCUAGAGGCAGGGCAGGAUGGAUAUAGGUCUGUAACAGUUUGGGUCUAGAGGCAGGGCAGGAUGG